rnacentral:lncRNA from 1 species
CAGGAAGCGCAGCGGGUUACAGUGAAAGGAACCCUGACAGAGCUCUCUCGGGCUGCACAAUUGAGACUCCGAGCGACAGUGCCGUGUUGCAAGAUGCCAUGUCGAC